CAGCAGCCGCGGAAUACGAAGGGUGCAAGCGUUAAUCGGAAUUACUGGGCGUAAAGCGCGCGUAGGUGGUUUGGUAAGAUGGAUGUGAAAUCCCCGGGCUCAACCUGGGAACUGCAUCCAUAACUGCCUGACUAGAGUACGGUAGAGGGUGGUGGAAUUUCCUGUGUAGCGGUGAAAUGCGUAGAUAUAGGAAGGAACACCAGUGGCGAAGGCGACCACCUGGACUGAUACUGACACUGAGGUGCGAAAGCGUGGGGAGCAAACAGGAUUAGAUACCCCCGUAGUCCCUGUCUCUUAUACA
rnacentral:rRNA from 1 species